UUUGUCACUUUAAGGACGGUAUCACAUAAAAAUUAGCAAGUCGAUGUCUGUCAGUACGAAUAUCGACGUAAAGCACAUUAAAAUAACAU